CCCGGGCCUUGUACACACCGCCCGUCACACCAUGGGAGUUGGUUUUACCUUAAGACGGUGCGCUAACCGCAAGGAGGCAGCCGGCCACGGUAAGGUCAGCGACUGGGGUG
rnacentral:rRNA from 1 species